GAACUGAAACAUCUAAGUACCCCGAGGAAAAGAAAUCAACCGAGAUUCCCCCAGUAGCGGCGAGCGAACGGGGAGGAGCCCAGAGCCUGAAUCAGUGUGUGUGUUAGUGGAAGCGUCUGGAAAGGCGCGCGAUACAGGGUGACAGCCCCGUACACAAAAAUGCACAUGCUGUGAGCUCGAUGAGUAGGGCGGGACACGUGGUAUCCUGUCUGAAUAUGGGGGGACCAUCCUCCAAGGCUAAAUACUCCUGACUGACCGAUAGUGAACCAGUACCGUGAGGGAAAGGCGAAAAGAACCCCGGCGAGGGGAGUGAAAAAGAACCUGAAACCGUGUACGUACAAGCAGUGGGAGCACAGAGCAAUCUGUGUGACUGCGUACCUUUUGUAUAAUGGGUCAGCGACUUAUAUUCUGUAGCAAGGUUAACCGAAUAGGGGAGCCGAAGGGAAACCGAGUCUUAACUGGGCGUUAAGUUGCAGGGUAUAGACCCGAAACCCGGUGAUCUAGCCAUGGGCAGGUUGAAGGUUGGGUAACACUAACUGGAGGACCGAACCGACUAAUGUUGAAAAAUUAGCGGAUGACUUGUGGCUGGGGGUGAAAGGCCAAUCAAACCGGGAGAUAGCUGGUUCUCCCCGAAAGCUAUUUAGGUAGCGCCUCGUGAAUUCAUCUCCGGGGGUAGAGCACUGUUUCGGCAAGGGGGUCAUCCCGACUUACCAACCCGAUGCAAACUGCGAAUACCGGAGAAUGUUAUCACGGGAGACACACGGCGGGUGCUAACGUCCGUCGUGAAGAGGGAAACAACCCAGACCGCCAGCUAAGGUCCCAAAGUCAUGGUUAAGUGGGAAACGAUGUGGGAAGGCCCAGACAGCCAGGAUGUUGGCUUAGAAGCAGCCAUCAUUUAAAGAAAGCGUAAUAGCUCACUGGUCGAGUCGGCCUGCGCGGAAGAUGUAACGGGGCUAAACCAUGCACCGAAGCUGCGGCAGCGACACUGUGUGUUGUUGGGUAGGGGAGCGUUCUGUAAGCCUGUGAA
rnacentral:rRNA from 1 species